CCUUUGGGAGGGAAGAAAGCAGAUGUAACAGAGCUGAUCCCAUAUAGAGGCAGUAAUCUGAACCUGCGGACUCAUGGCAGCACUGGAUGCCAGAGGAGCUUUGCGUGCAAGAGGUGUUUAGCAUUUGGAGAUACGAUGUCCAGUUCUCAGUUAUACUAUCUCUGACAUCCUCACGGCAGCCAGGGACUGCUGCCUAAAGCUGGCACAGAUAUCAAGCCUGGCUUUGUGCCCUGUCCUACUCAGAGGGCAGGCUGGAAAUGGCAGAGGAAUGCCUUUCCCCCUUCCCCAGAUGCCCUCGGCUGGGACACACACACACAAAGCUGCACAUUUCACCCCAUGGUGAGCAGGCGAAGGGGACCGCUGCUUCAGUUUCACUGUGGGUGAUGGAUGGAGCCAGCUGCUCCCCACACAGAGCAGGAAGGCCGAUGCGGUCCUUUAUGCUGCCCCCCGGAUUGAAGUACUCACAUUUUGCCACUGGAAAUGAAAGGGCAGGCUCCAUCAGGGACAAGCUGCAGCUGGGAGCACCAGCUACUUGCUCCCCCAGCCCUUGCUGCAGUCAUUUGAAGAUACCCAUUCCUCCCCUGCAGGAUGAUCCUUUGCACAGGUGAGCACAUCCACCACCUGCUUACAGGGUGCCACAGCUUGUUGUAGCAUUACCCACCAUUAGAUAACCCACUAUGGGAUGCUAAAAGUCCAUCUUUCCCCUACAUUUCAUAUACCUGCAGCACUCUGAAGGCAGGAGGCAGUGCUAGUAAGUCUAGGAUGGGUUUAAAAUCAGCUGGACAUAAGGUGGUUACUCUGAGCACGGUAUUAUCAGGGUUAAUGGUAAUGUUUCAGGGUCUUU